GACGAACGCUGGCGGCGUGCUUAACACAUGCAAGUCGAACGGAAAGGCCCUGCUUUUGUGGGGUGCUCGAGUGGCGAACGGGUGAGUAACACGUGAGUAACCUGCCCUUGACUUUGGGAUAACUUCAGGAAACUGGGGCUAAUACCGGAUAGGAGCUCCUGCUGCAUGGUGGGGGUUGGAAAGUUUCGGCGGUUGGGGAUGGACUCGCGGCUUAUCAGCUUGUUGGUGGGGUAGUGGCUUACCAAGGCUUUGACGGGUAGCCGGCCUGGGAGGGUGACCGGCCACAAUGGGACUGAGGGACGGCCCAGACUCCUACGGGAGGCAACAGGGGGGAAUAUUGUACAAUGGGCGGAAGCCUGAUGCAGCAACGCCGCGUGCGGGAUGACGGCCUUCGGGUUGUAAACCGCUUUCGCCUGUGACGAAGCGUGAGUGACGGUAAUGGGUAAAGAAGCACCGGCUAACUACGUG
rnacentral:rRNA from 1 species